rnacentral:rRNA from 1 species
AAUGAACGCUGGCGGCAUGCCUAACACAUGCAAGUCGAACGAAGGCUUCGGCCUUAGUGGCGCACGGGUGCGUAACGCGUGGGAAUCUGCCCUCAGGUUCGGAGUAACAGCGAGAAAUUGCUGCUAAUACCGGAAGAUAUCGCGAGAUCAAAGAUUUAUCGCCUGAGGAUGAGCCCGCGUAGGAUUAGCGAGUUGGUGUGGUAAAGGCGCACCAAGGCGACGAUCCUUAGCUGGUCUGAGAGGAUGAUCAGCCACACUGGGACUGAGACACGGCCCAGACUCCUACGGGAGGCAGCAGUGGGGAAUAUUGGACAAUGGGCGAAAGCCUGAUCCAGCAAUGCCGCGUGAGUGAUGAAGGCCUUAGGGUUGUAAAGCUCUUUUACCCGGGAUGAUAAUGACAGUACCGGGAGAAUAAGCUCCGGCUAACUCCGUGCCAGCAGCCGCAGUAA